rnacentral:rRNA from 1 species
CUGAGCACACGCCGCGUGUAUGAUGAAGGUCUUCGGAUUGUAAAGCUCUGUCUUUGGGGAAGAAUGAUAUGACUUGAACACAUUGAGGAAGCCUCACGGUACUCCAUGACGAAGCCCCCGCUAAUUACUUGGCAGCAACCGCUGUCAUAAAUUAGGGGCAAGCGAUUGUGCGAAGAUUGCGAGUAAAGGGCACGUAAGACGGAUAGUUAACUCCGGUGUGAAAGCAUCAUGGCUCAGACCCUGAUAGUGCAUCGGAAACUGGUUAUCUUUACGACAGGAGAGGAAAAUGGAAUUCCACAUGUAGAGGAGAACUGCGGACAUAUGUGAAUUAACACCCGUGACCAAAGCCACUUUCUGGACUGUAACUGACGCUAACGCGCUAAAACGUGCGGAGCAACCACGAUUAGAUACCCUGGUACUCCACGCUGGAAACAAUGACUGCUACGUGUACAGGGUAUCGACCCCUUCUGUGCCGCAGGUAAAACACUACCCACUCC